AAAGGAAUUGACGGGGACCCGCACAAGCAGUGGAGUAUGUGGUUUAAUUCGAAGCAACGCGAAGAACCUUACCAAGGCUUGACAUAGCACUGAAUACAGAGGAAACUUUGUAGGCCUUCGGGACAGUGUUACAGGUGGUGCAUGGUUGUCGUCAGCUCGUGUCGUGAGAUGUUGGGUUAAGUCCCGCAACGAGCGCAACCCUUGUCAUUAGUUGCCAGCAUUAAGUUGGGCACUCUAGUGAGACUGCCGGUGAGAAAUCGGAGGAAGGUGGGGACGACGUCAAAUCAUCAUGCCCCUUAUGUCUUGGGCUACACACGUACUACAAUGGCUAUUACAGAAGGCAGCAAAGGAGUAAUCCGGAGCGAAUCCCCAAAGAUAGUCCCAGUUCGGAUUGUGGGCUGCAACCCGCCCACAUGAAGUCGGAAUUGCUAGUAAUUGCAGGUCAGCAUACUGCAGUGAAUACGUUCCCGGGUCUUGUACACACCGCCCGU
rnacentral:rRNA from 1 species